rnacentral:misc_RNA from 1 species
GAAAUGCGAUAAGUAAUGUGAAUUGCAGAAUUCCGUGAAUCAUCGAAUCUUUGAACGCACAUUUCGCCCUCUGGUAUUCCGGGGGGCAUGCCUGUCCGAGCGUCAUUGCGAACCCCUCAAGCACGGCUUGUGUGAUGGGCCCUCCCGCGUCUUGGUCGUCAAGACGGGCCCGAAAUGCAGUGGCGGCUUCGCAGUUAUCCGAUCAGCCAGAGCGUAUGGGGACUUUCUCUCUGUCACACGCCCGCGGCGCGGACCGACGCCUGUCGACCUUUAUUCAUCUUUUUCUCGGUUGACCUCGGAUCAGGUAGGGAUACCCGCUGAACUUAAGC